rnacentral:rRNA from 1 species
GUUUAUGGCUACACACCCUGAAGGCAGCAGAUCUCAUCUGAUCUUGGAACCAAAGCAGGGUCACCCUUAGUUAGUACUUGAAUGGGAAACUACCAAGGAAUCCCAGGUGCUGUAUGCA